UGGUAUUUAAUUUGGACUUUUCACCCUCAAUAAGCUUAACAAAACACGCGCCAUUUUUCCCCAGUCACGGCAUAUGAACUGAUAGCCUACUAGUAGAGGAGCCAAUCAGAGCGCACGAUAGCUCAUAUCUAGUUAGUGUGGAUAUUAUAAUAGGUGUGAAACAGGUAGAGGAGCCAAUCAUAGCGCACGAUAGCUCAUAUCUAGUUAGUGUGGAUAUUAUAAUAGGUGUGAAACAGGUAGAGGAGCCAAUCGGAGCGCACGAUAGCUCAAAUCUAGUUAGUGUGGAUAUUAUAAUAGGUGUGAAACAGGUCAAUUAAAAUGUCCCUGGAUUUAACUCAAAUCUCAAAAAAUAUAUAUAAUUGACAAAUAAAUCAAAACGAAAUUGUACAAAUGCGAUUCACUAGGUAAUGCAAAGCAAAGAAACUACUUUGAUAUAACCAUGUACAAUAAUUUUUGGUUUAUUGUGUUACCUUCAACAUUCAAAAUGAACAGAUAACGUCUUAUCAUAACUCCAACCAAUAUAUUAUUUUCUUGUAGAGGGUUCCACCUGGCAAACCAGAUCUUGUUAAACCAACCCUAAAAAAAAGCUUGAUUUUGAAAGACUAAAAACGGACAUUUCGAAGUAUGAAGGCAACAUUCGUCAAUCUGCAUCCACAACAUGGACCAAAUGGCUCAAUACAAUUGAUGAGUUGUUGGAGGUACCUAAAGAGUACAAUUGACCAGUAGAGGGACUUUGUAAAGCUGAACGUACAGCACCUCAGCCUGUGUCCGAACAAGUUCCUCAAGACCUGGAGGAGUUACAUGACAGGGGAACUCAAGAAACUAGAGAGAUUUACACCACAGGAUACAGGAGGCCAGAAGAAAGAGCAGCCCCAGUAGCCCCGGUCGAAGGGAACUUUCUUAAAAGAAUCGCUGUUGGUGUUGGUCCCGUGUCUUGGGAAAGUUUUAAAGCUGGAAACGGACCACUUCUAAGUACAUUACUACAAAGGUACACACAAAGGCAAAUGGACUCCAAGGCAUGUCCCACGAAAGAGGGCUACUCUUGAACUGAGCGACUGGCUAAGACUUGCAUUAUAUGGUGGGGCCAACUCGUGGAUGGGAUGAAACUGGAAAGGGUUCCAGGACAUUUUUGAAGGAGAGGUACGACUAUCUUAUCAGUCAUUGAUAGCAACGUUUAAUAUUGUUUUGUAAAAUACAGUAGACUCUCGCUAAAUUAAACUCGGAAAUAAAAGGGAAAUGCAGUUCAAGUUAGCGGGAGUUCGAUAAAGCGAGGUCGAAGAAACGUGGUUUUAAGUCAUAACCAACUC